rnacentral:tRNA from 1 species
CAAAUUAGAGCUUGUAAAGUAAAGCAUUUUAUUUACAUUAAAAAGUUGUUGUGCAAAUCAAUAUAAUUUGA